AGGUGGACCAAAACAGCAGGAAGUGCCUCUGACCGAUUCCAAGAUUCCAGUGUCUUCAACGAAACCCUGAGGAUCUCCAACAUCCAGAGACACCAGGGAGGCCGCUACUACUGCAAGGCUGAGAACGGCCUGGGCUCUCCGGCCAUCAAAUCCAUCCGCGUGGACGUGUACUAUUUGGACGAUCCCAUCGUCACCAUCCACCAGAGCAUCGGGGAAGCCAAGGAGCAGUUUUACUAUGAGAAGACGGUGUUCCUCAGGUGCGUGGCCAACUCCAACCCGCCCGUGCGCUACAGCUGGCGCCGCGGCCAGGAGGUGCUGCUGCAGGGCUCCGACAAGGGAGUGGAGAUCUACGAGCCCUUCUUUACCCAGGUAG